GCUCUGGAAGUGGAGGCCAUCAUGACGGCUCCGGGCAGCCUGGUCACCAGCCAAGGCCGGCGGUUCGAGUGGGCCAUUGAGCUGAGAGGGCCCAGCGCAGGCAGCAGGGGCCGAAGUGACCGGGGCAGCGGCCAGGGAGACUCACUGUACCCCGUCGGGUACUUGGACAAGCAGGUGCCGGACACCAGCGUGCAGGAGACGGACCGGAACCUGGUGGAAAAGCACUGCUGGGACAUCGCCCUGGGCCCCCUCAAACAGAUCCCCAUGAACUUAUUCAUCAUGUACAUGGCCGGCAACACCAUCUCCAUCUUCCCUACCAUGAUGGUGUGCAUGAUGGCCUGGCGGCCGGUCCAGGCACUCAUGGCCAUUUCAGCCACUUUCAAGAUGCUAGAGAGUUCAAGCCAGAAGUUUCUUCAGGGUCUGGUUUAUCUCAUUGGGAACCUGAUGGGCUUGGCACUGGCUGUUUACAAGUGCCAGUCCAUGGGGCUGUUACCUACACACGCGUCAGAUUGGUUAGUCUUCAUGGAGCCUCCAGAGACACUGGAGUUCAGUGGUGGAGGACUCGUUUUGUGAACUUG